ACCGUUACGCCGCGGCCGUUGCGGCUCCGGAUUCAAACGCGGCCCGCGGCGCCGCCACGGAACCGCCGCGGCUCCCACCUGCGAGGCGGGAUCCCCCCGCUCCCUCCCCAGCCCCCCGCUCACCGGUGGGCGGCCACGGCGCGGCUCCGCAGCUCAGAGGAGAAAGUCUCAGCAUAUGGCAGCCUGUUAUCAAGCAGUACCCAGACUAUUGUGAAAGAGAACAUUGUACCAAAUAUUAAUAGUACAAAGGCAGAAUUUUUCAGAAUUGUUGAGAAAAUUUUUAGAAGACUCUCAAAAAGAUGAAGAGGAUGCAUGUGUUUGCUCCAUCUCAUUGCUAGUAUCCCACUCAGAAGGAGUUUUGCAUCUUUAAUACAACAACUUCCUCCAGUUAUUUUUCUGAAGACAACACCUUGUUCUGUUGCCUAUUUCCUCAAUGUAAGGAAUGGCAUGGGUACUUACACCUUUUUAUGGUCAAAGAAUCUUCAGAUCUUGAAAUUCUUUUCCCUACCUCUAUUCUUUUUUUGCCUUAUUAAAAAUUAAAACCUGAAGUUACA